rnacentral:rRNA from 1 species
UGGGGAAUAUUGGGCAAUGGGCGAAAGCCUGACCCAGCGACGCCGCGUGGGUGAUGAAGGCCUUCGGGUCGUAAAGCCCUGUCAGAAGGAAAGAACGAUCUUAUGGUGAAUACCCAUGAGAUGUGACGGUACCUUCGAAGGAAGCACCGGCCAAUUCCGUGCCAGCAGCCGCGGUAAGACGGAAGGUGCAAGCGUUGCUCGGAAUCACUGGGCGUAAAGGGUGCGUAGGCGGCUUCUUAAGUCUGGUGUGAAAGCCCAGGGCUCAGCUCUGGAAGUGCACUAGAUACUGGGAAGCUUGAGUAUCGGAGGGGAGAGUGGAAUUCCUGGUGUAGCGGUGAAAUGCGUAGAUAUCAGGAGGAAUACCGGUGGCGAAAGCGACUCUCCGGACGAUUACUGACGCUGAGGCACGAAAGCGUGGGGAGCAAACAGGAUUAGAUACCCCCGUAGUCCCUGAGCGGGCUGGCAAGGCGCAU